rnacentral:misc_RNA from 1 species
UCUCCCCUUUUAGGAGCAGUCUCGCUAGACAUAGUAACUAACGACGAGGGUUGCGCUCGUUGCGGGACUUAACCCAACACCUCACGGCACGAGCUGACGACAGCCAUGCAACAUCUGUGCAUCUGUCCCGAAGGAAGACCCGCUUUCACGGGCUGUCAGACGCAUGUCAAGUCCAGGUGAGGUUCUUCGCUUAGCAUCGAAUUAAACCACACGCUCCGCUGCUUGUGCGGGGACCCGUCAAUUCCUUUGAGUUUUAGCCUUGCGGCCGUACUCCCCAGGCGGGGCGCUUAAUGCGUUAGCUGCGGCACGGAGGACGUGGAAUGUCCCCCACACCUAGCGCCCAACGUUUACGGCAUGGACUAC